GAUGAACGCUGGCGGCGUGCCUAAUACAUGCAAGUCGAGCGAAGUGGGGAAGGGUGAGUAAAACGUGGAUAACCCCCUAUAAGACCGUGAUAAUUUCGGGAAACUAGAGCUUAACCCGAAACUUAUUAAUGGGUCCGUGCUGAAUUAGCUAGCUGGUAAGUUAAUGGCUUAUCAAGGCAACGAUGAAUAGACGACCUGAGCGACUGAUCGGCAACAGUGGAACUGAGAAACGGCCCAGAGUCCUACGGGAGGCAGCAGUAGGGAAUCUUCCACAAUGGACGAAAGCCUGACGGAGCAACGCCGCGUGAGUGAUGAAGGUCUUCGGAUCGUAAAACUCUGUUGUUGGGGAAGCGGUAACUAAUCAGAAAGCCACGGCUAACUACGUGCCAGCAGCCGCGGUAAUUC
rnacentral:rRNA from 1 species